rnacentral:lncRNA from 1 species
AUAGAGAGUUGGUGACUGCCUUUGAGAGGAGAAUGGUUGUGAUCCUUUUGCCGAGAACUCACCCAGAGGACUUAUACCUUGGUGACAGCAGAAGGACUCAAGUUAGAAGGCCAGGGCCCUUAAAGGGAGGGGACGAUUCGAGGAAAGUAUAGAUUAGAAAACUGAGGCCCAGAGAAGGAAAGUAGCUGCCAGAGGUCACACAGCUAGGAUUGAGGGAUCAGAGGUUGCACCCUUCUAGGAACUUCCGCCUGAGGGAGACUGGUCAGAGCUCAGGAGGGACUGUUCCAGGGGAUGAGAUAUCUGCUGGCCAGGAAAGGCAUGGGAACUGGGCAGCGGAGCACACCCUCCGGACCUGGCCCAACUUCAGAAUAACAACAAAUGAUUGUGCCAGGCUCUGCCAGUUCCUCCUCCCCCACAAGCUGGCACAUGUGGAUAUUGGCUCUGUUUUGCCUUUGACCCCUAGUGAAAGAAAAUACUGAGACGGAGUCUCGCUCUGUCGCCCAGGUUGGAGUGAAGCGGCUAGAUCUCAGCUCACUGCAACCUCUGCCUCCCAGGUUUAAGCAAUUCUCCUGUCUCAGCCUCCAGAGUAGCUGGGACUACAGGCGCAUGCCACCAUGCCCUACUAAUUUUUUGUAUUUUUAGGAGAGACAGGCCUUCACCAUGUUGGUCAAGCUGGUCUCGAACUCCUGACCUCAGGUGACCCACCGGCUUCAGCCUCCCAAAGUGCUGGGAUUACAGGCAUGAGCCACCGCGCCCAGCCUCAUAUCUAUCUUUAUCACUCCAUUUCAGAUCUUCUUCCAUAUAUGGCUCUGUGUGUCUCCUGUCCUUCCCUGUCUCCU